CCUAGCGGCGGACGGGUGAGUAAUGCUUAGGAAUCUGCCUAUUAGUGGGGGACAACAUUCCGAAAGGAAUGCUAAUACCGCAUACGUCCUACGGGAGAAAGCAGGGGACCUUCGGGCCUUGCGCUAAUAGAUGAGCCUAAGUCGGAUUAGCUAGUUGGUGGGGUAAAGGCCUACCAAGGCGACGAUCUGUAGCGGGUCUGAGAGGAUGAUCCGCCACACUGGGACUGAGACACGGCCCAGACUCCUACGGGAGGCAGCAGUGGGGAAUAUUGGACAAUGGGGGGAACCCUGAUCCAGCCAUGCCGCGUGUGUGAAGAAGGCCUUUUGGUUGUAAAGCACUUUAAGCGAGGAGGAGGCUACUAGUAUUAAUACUACUGGAUAGUGGACGUUACUCGCAGAAUAAGCACCGGCUAACUCUGUGCCAGCAGCCGCGGUAAUACAGAGGGUGCGAGCGUUAAUCGGAUUUACUGGGCGUAAAGCGUGCGUAGGCGGCUGAUUAAGUCGGAUGUGAAAUCCCUGAGCUUAACUUAGGAAUUGCAUUCGAUACUGGUCAGCUAGAGUAUGGGAGAGGAUGGUAGAAUUCCAGGUGUAGCGGUGAAAUGCGUAGAGAUCUGGAGGAAUACCGAUGGCGAAGGCAGCCAUCUGGCCUAAUACUGACGCUGAGGUACGAAAGCAUGGGGAGCAAACAGGAUUAGAUACCCUGGUAGUCCAUGCCGUANACGAUGUCUACUAGCCGUUGGGGCCUUUGAGGCUUUAGUGGCGCAGCUAACGCGAUAAGUAGACCGCCUGGGGAGUAC
rnacentral:rRNA from 1 species